AGUGAACGCUGGCGGUAGGCCUAACACAUGCAAGUCGAACGGCAGCACAGUAAGAGCUUGCUCUUACGGGUGGCGAGUGGAGGACGGGUGAGGAAUACAUCGGAAUCUACUUUUUCGUGGGGGAUAACGUAGGGAAACUUACGCUAAUACCGCAUACGACCUACGGGUGAAAGCAGGGGAUCUUCGGACCUUGCGCGAUUGAAUGAGCCGAUGUCGGAUUGGCUAGUUGGCGGGGUAAAGGCCCACCAAGGCGAGGAUCCGUAGCUGGUCUGAGAGGAUGAUCAGCCACACUGGAACUGAGACACGGUCCAGACUCCUACGGGAGGCAGCAGUGGGGAAGAGUGGACAAUGGGCGCAAGCCUGAUCCAGCCAUACCGCGUGGGUGAAGAAGGCCUUCGGGUUGUAAAGCCCUUUUGUUGGGAAAGAAAAGCAGCAGGUUAAUACCCCGCUGUUCUGACGGUACCCAAAGAAUAAGCACCGGCUAACUUCGUG
rnacentral:rRNA from 1 species